AACGAACGCUGGCGGCAUGCCUAACACAUGCAAGUCGAACGAAGCCUUCGGGCUUAGUGGCGCACGGGUGCGUAACACGUGGGAAUCUGCCCUUCGGUUCGGAAUAACAGUUAGAAAUGACUGCUAAUACCGGAUGAUGACGAAAGUCCAAAGAUUUAUCGCCGAAGGAUGAGCCCGCGUAGGAUUAGGUAGUUGGUAGGGUAAUGGCCUACCAAGCCGACGAUCCUUAGCUGGUCUGAGAGGAUGAUCAGCCACACUGGGACUGAGACACGGCCCAGACUCCUACGGGAGGCAGCAGUGGGGAAUAUUGGACAAUGGGCGAAAGCCUGAUCCAGCAAUGCCGCGUGAGUGAUGAAGGCCUUAGGGUUGUAAAGCUCUUUUACCAGGGAUGAUAAUGACAGUACCUGGAGAAUAAGCUCCGGCUAACUCCGUGCCAGCAGCCGCGGU
rnacentral:rRNA from 1 species